GAUGAAGAACGCAGCGAAAUGCGAUAAGUAAUGUGAAUUGCAGAAUUCAGUGAAUCAUCGAAUCUUUGAACGCACAUUGCGCCCGCCAGUAUUCUGGCGGGCAUGCCUGUUCGAGCAUCAUUUCAACCAUCAAGCCCCAGGCUUGUGUUGGAGCCCUGCGGCUGCCGCAGCCUCCCAAAACCAGUGGCGGGCUCGCUAUCACACCGAGUGCAGUAGUUUACUCUUCGCUCAGGGCGUGUGGCGGGUGCUAGCCGUAAAACCCCCAACUUCUCAAGGUUGACCUCGGAUCAGGUAGGAAUACCCGCUGAACUUAAGCAUAUCAAUAAGCGGAGGA
rnacentral:misc_RNA from 1 species